rnacentral:rRNA from 1 species
GACGUAGGGCGCGAGCGUUGUCCGGAUUUAUUGGGCGUAAAGAGCUCGUAGGCGGCUUGUCGCGUCGACUGUGAAAACCCGUGGCUCAACCAUGUGGUCUGCAGUCGAUACGGGCAGGCUAGAAUUCGGUAGGGGAGACUGGAAUUCCUGGUGUAGCGGUGAAAUGCGCAGAUAUCAGGAGGAACACCGGUGGCGAAGGCGGGUCUCUGGGCCGAUACUGACGCUGAGAAGCGAAAGCGUGGGGAGCGAACAGG